rnacentral:lncRNA from 1 species
UGAAUUGGAGAAUAGAGGUUAGACAGCUGUAGAGCAUCUUCCACCCCAUUAACAAUAGGAAGAGCCAUUGUAAUUGUUAAUGUUUUAGUUGUUUGUGUCAGCAGAAGAGGGAGGCAGAGCCAGAGCUAGGCAAUUCAUUGGAAAGCGAGAGUUGGUACAACAGCCAAGGAUCUUCAGAAGAAGAAAGUCUAACGUCACAUUUUAAGUUGUCUGUGCGAUGUAACACAAACUGUUAAGUUUUGACUCCAUCAGUUACGACAUCACUGGCUGCUGCUAUCAGCAUAAUGAUGAUGUCAAGAAUGCUGAACUGUGAAAACCAGCAGGAGUGAAGGAGCGUGGAAUAGGGAGUAUUUCAGUAUGAGAAACUCUAAAGGAAGAAGUCCAGUGCCCAGAGACCAUUCUCCGGUAAAAAAUAAAUAAUUGGUUUCUGUCCACCUGACCCAACAGUAUUAGGAUUGAUGGCAACCUUGCUCUAUACCUUCUCUUGUCAAACAGGGACACCAGAAAAUCUGCUGCCUUUGGUGAAUGAUUUACUGCCAUUCAAUUCCUCAGACUGUCAGCUGCUACGUAAAGAAAAUAGUGCUGUUCUCACGUGAUUUUAUUGAGAGUUACAUCUUCUGUCUUCACCAAGUAAAUCCUAAUACAGCAUGUCCAG